AUCGACGGCCAUGCCACCCUGAAUGAGCCCGAUCCUGUCUGAUCUUAAUGCUAAGCAGGGUCGGGCCUGGUUAGUACUUGAAUGGGAGACCACCUAGGAAGAGCAGGUGCUGUAGGCG
rnacentral:rRNA from 1 species